UACGUAGGGUGCGAGCGUUAAUCGGAAUUACUGGGCGUAAAGCGUGCGCAGGCGGUUUUGUAAGCCAGAUGUGAAAUCCCCGGGCUUAACCUGGGAAUGGCAUUUGGGACUGCAAGGCUUGAGUGCGGCAGAGGAGACUGGAAUUCCUGGUGUAGCAGUGAAAUGCGUAGAUAUCAGGAGGAACACCGAUGGCGAAGGCGGGUCUCUGGGCCGUAACUGACGCUGAGGAGCGAAAGCGUGGGGAGCGAACAGG
rnacentral:rRNA from 1 species